rnacentral:rRNA from 1 species
GACGAACGCUGGCGGCGUGCCUAAUACAUGCAAGUUGAGCGCUGAAGGUUGGUACUUGUACCCACUGGAUGAGCAGCGAACGGGUGAGUAACGCGUGGGGAAUCUGCCUUUGAGCGGGGGACAACAUUUGGAAACGAAUGCUAAUACCGCAUAAAAACUUUAAACACAAGUUUUAAGUUUGAAAGAUGCAAUUGCAUCACUCAAAGAUGAUCCCGCGUUGUAUUAGCUAGUUGGUGAGGUAAAGGCUCACCAAGGCGAUGAUACAUAGCCGACCUGAGAGGGUGAUCGGCCACAGUGGGACUGAGGCACGGCCCAAACUCCUACGGGAGGCAGCAGUAGGGAAUCUUCGGCAAUGGACGAAAGUCUGACCGAGCAACGCCGCGUGAGUGAAGAAGGUUGUCGGAUCGUAAAACUCUGUUGGUAGAGAAGAACGUUGGUGAGAGUGGAAAGCUCAUCAAGUGACGGUAACUACCCAGAAAGGGACGGCUAACUACGUG